UCUCUAUGGUUGGUCAUCGUCAUUGU
rnacentral:piRNA from 1 species